AGUGAACGCUGGCGGCGUGCUUAACACAUGCAAGUCGAACGAGAACGGAUUAUAGCUUGCUAUAAUUGUCAGCUAAGUGGCGCACGGGUGAGUAAUGUAUAGGUAAUAUGCCUCUUACUAAGGGAUAACAAAUGGAAACGUUUGCUAAUACCUUAUACUCCUUAUUAACAGAAGUUAAUAAGGGAAAGAUUUAUUGGUAAGAGAUUAGCCUGUAUUGUAUCAGUUAGUUGGUGGGGUAAUGGCCUACCAAGACUAUGACACAUAACUGGUUUGAGAGGAUGAGCAGUCACACUGGAACUGGGACACGGUCCAGACUCCUACGGGUGGCAGCAGUGGGGAAUAUUGCACAAUGGACGAAAGUCUGAUGCAGCAACGCCGCGUGGAGGAUGACACAUUUCGGUGCGUAAACUCCUUUUAUAUGAGAAGAUAAUGACGGUAUUAUAUGAAUAAGCACCGGCUAACUCCGUGCCAGCAGCCGCAGUAA
rnacentral:rRNA from 1 species